GGACAGGAAAGCACCUCCAAGUUACUCACCAAUAAACAAUCACAUCACCAUUUCCUCUCCUGGGCAGAAACCACUCUAUGGAAAUACAGCCUUAGGGAAUUUUCAUUAUUGUGAAUACCAUGAAAAAACAUUGGAAUAGGAGAUGUCAGUUAAGUCUCUUUUAUAACUAUCCCGAAUGCUGUGAUCAUCAUGAUAUUGCAAGUGUUUUGACAGCCAAAGCUGUCUGCUACCUUUACUGUGUGGAACCAUGAACCCUGAGCUACCCUCUAAACAAGGAAGAGGAAUUUAUCUUCAAUGGUGCCAUCCUGGGACAAGAGAUUACAUUUUGUUAAAAUAAAUCAAUAUACUUGCAGAACCAAAAAAAUGAGUGCACCUAUACCACAAGUCAUGAUGGAUGGUUAUGAUGUCACAAAUUCAAUGCUAGUGUCCCACCAAAUGCUGAAGACCAAGAACUGAAACUACUCUGCAAUUGUCCAAAUUAUAGUGAACAUCAGAUAAAAGUUCUGCUUUGAAAGCAGUCAAAUUCCACUUGUUGCAAAUCCCUAAAACACACGAAUGCCACGAGGGACGGCUGCUGGGCAAGAGUGUAGAAAUGGAUCCGGUCAGACCCAUUACUGCUACUGGAAAAGCACAUGUCCUCCUGAGGGGUAUAAACUGCUUUGGAAGGACUUUUUUCUUCCUGAUUCCUGGCUGGAGCUGGAGACAAGAUUACGGAAAUACCUCCAGAGUGGUUAUUUCUAUCCAUACUGAAAUGAGAAAUUUGGGUAUGCUUAGCUAAACAUUCAAGUGCUUUAGUUUGCUCCCUUCACUAUUGAUAAUCCCAUCAUCUGUGUCUCACACAGAAAACUUUAACUUCACACUUCAGAAAUUUGGGGUUUUAUUUUAUUUCCUUAUAAAGUCCUCCUGAGGUGAAUCCUAACACAUUGAGGUCAUGUCAGUUGCCUUCUGCUACACAAGAAGAUGUUUCACUCCUAAAAUGUGCCACUAGACCCACUGACAUGUGUGUCAGCCUUGAAAUGGGGCCAUUUGUGCUCCAAAUCCCAAAUGACCGAUGACUGGGUUCAGAGUCUUCUCCAAACUGCUACUCUCAUGUAGGGAAAUAAAAACCCUAUACAGGAGGAGAUGCAGAGUUUCCUUUUAACCUUUGGGUUUGUUCUCUAUCUCUAUUUUUCAUAGUAAUUCACUUGAAAGUGAUACGUGAUAGACACAUACAAGAAGCAUCCCAAUUUCUUUCCCUAAUGACUAAAUCUCCAAAAUUAUCUGUUAAAAACCUUUAUCCUUUUUUAAAAUAUUUUAUUUAUGUAUUUGAGAGGUAGAGUAACAGACAGUGAGAGAGAGAGAGAGAGAAAGGUCUUCCUUCCAUUG